AAACACUUAAAAAAAACCAAAAACCGAGCACUUCAUUAAAGCCAGGCAACUAACAAAGCCUUCCUUACAGACAAGAGUAUGAAUCUGAUGAGGAGUUGGACCCUGAAGAAGGUUCUCCGUAGCACGCCUUCAGGAAACAACAGACACCCGGCUUAGCUGCGUGCGGUUAGCCUGAAAAACCAGUUUGCAACGCCUGGGGCCUCCCGGCAGCUCAGCUGGGUGUUUAAGGUGGAACCUCAGACCUUGUAGCGACACUGCUGUUGCCGCCUCCGGCCAGGACCGCUGCCCUCCUCUGAGGAGCAGUCAAGAAGGAAUAUAGGUUUGUCCCCAAUGGAAGCAGCUCAGGACAGCUGCUUUGAGGACGAGUCUCAGGCGAGGCUCACCGGGCGACUCAACUACCCCAUCUGCCGACUCAGCCAGGAAAUGCAGAAGACCGAGCCGGUCGGCAGUGACAUUUAUGAUCCAGAGAAACCCGCACGAGGACGACGCUAUUAGCCUCAUUUCACAGAUGAGGAAACCCCACCGCCCAGCCUCUACCAGGCCUUCCUUGUCCGAUUGGACCAGGCCUCUGCAGAGCCCCCUCCAAAGGGCCCUCUGCCUCCUGCACUUCCGGCUUCCAGAGAGAUCAUUCUGAAGGACUCUUCCUUUUCACUCACCACCCUCUUCUCCAGUUCUGCUUUUGGGCCCAGUACCUUGGCCUCGGUUAGUUAUUUUUGUCUGGUUACACUUCCCCUGGUCAAAGAGGAGACCGAGACGGAAAGGAUAUUAUAUUUGUUUCUAUAUA